UACGGAGGGGGCUAGCGUUGUUCGGAAUUACUGGGCGUAAAGCGUUCGUAGGCGGCUUUCCAAGUCAGAGGUGAAAUCCCACGACUCAAUCGUGGAACUGCCUUUGAGACUGGUUCGCUUGAACACGGGAGAGGUGAGUGGAAUUCCGAGUGUAGAGGUGAAAUUCGUAGAUAUUCGGAAGAACACCAGUGGCGAAGGCGGCUCACUGGACCGUUGUUGACGCUGAGGAACGAAAGCGUGGGGAGCAAACAGG
rnacentral:rRNA from 1 species